GAGUUACGAUUUGAUGCAAGGUUAAGCAGUAAAUGUGGAGCCGUAGCGAAAGCGAGUCUGAAUAGGGCGUUUAGUAUUUGGUCGUAGACCCGAAACCAGGUGAUCUACCCUUGGUCAGGUUGAAGUUCAGGUAACACUGAAUGGAGGACCGAACCGACUUACGUUGAAAAGUGAGCGGAUGAACUGAGGGUAGCGGAGAAAUUCCAAUCGAACCUGGAGAUAGCUGGUUCUCUCCGAAAUAGCUUUAGGGCUAGCCUCAAGUGAUGAUUAUUGGAGGUAGAGCACUGUUUGGACGAGGGGCCCCUCUCGGGUUACCGAAUUCAGACAAACUCCGAAUGCCAAUUAAUUUAACUUGGGAGUCAGAACAUGGGUGAUAAGGUCCGUGUUCGAAAGGGAAACAGCCCAGACCACCAGCUAAGGUCCCAAAAUAUAUGUUAAGUGGAAAAGGAUGUGGCGUUGCCCAGACAACUAGGAUGUUGGCUUAGAAGCAGCCAUCAUUUAAAGAGUGCGUAAUAGCUCACUAGUCGAGUGACACUGCGCCGAAAAUGUACCGGGGCUAAACAUAUUACCGAAGCUGUGGAUUGUCCUUUGGACAAUGGUAGGAGAGCGUUCUAAGGGCGUUGAAGCAUGAUCGUAAGGACAUGUGGAGCGCUUAGAAGUGAGAAUGCCGGUGUGAGUAGCGAAAGACGGGUGAGAAUCCCGUCCACCGAUUGACUAAGGUUUCCAGAGGAAGGCUCGUCCGCUCUGGGUUAGUCGGGUCCUAAGCUGAGGCCGACAGGCGUAGGCGAUGGAUAACAGGUUGAUAUUCCUGUACCACCUAUAAUCGUUUUAAUCGAUGGGGGGACGCAGUAGGAUAGGCGAAGCGUGCGAUUGGAUUGCACGUCUAAGCAGUAAGGCUGAGUAUUAGGCAAAUCCGGUACUCAUUAAGGCUGAGCUGUGAUGGGGAGAAGACAUUGUGUCUUCGAGUCGUUGAUUUCACACUGCCGAGAAAAGCCUCUAGAUAGAAAAUAGGUGCCCGUACCGCAAACCGACACAGGUAGUCAAGAUGAGAAUUCUAAGGUGAGCGAGCGAACUCUCGUUAAGGAACUCGGCAAAAUGACCCCGUAACUUCGGGAGAAGGGGUGCUCUUUAGGGUUAACGCCCAGAAGAGCCGCAGUGAAUAGGCCCAAGCGACUGUUUAUCAAAAACACAGGUCUCUGCUAAACCGUAAGGUGAUGUAUAGGGGCUGACGCCUGCCCGGUGCUGGAAGGUUAAGAGGAGUGGUUAGCUUCUGCGAAGCUACGAAUCGAAGCCCCAGUAAACGGCGGCCGUAACUAUAACGGUCCUAAGGUAGCGAAAUUCCUUGUCGGGUAAGUUCCGACCCGCACGAAAGGCGUAACGAUUUGGGCACUGUCUCAACGAGAGACUCGGUGAAAUCAUAGUACCUGUGAAGAUGCAGGUUACCCGCGACAGGACGGAAAGACCCCGUGGAGCUUUACUGUAGCCUGAUAUUGAAAUUCGGCACAGCUUGUACAGGAUAGGUAGGAGCCUUUGAAACGUGAGCGCUAGCUUACGUGGAGGCGCUGGUGGGAUACUACCCUAGCUGUGUUGGCUUUCUAACCCGCACCACUUAUCGUGGUGGGAGACAGUGUCAGGCGGGCAGUUUGACUGGGGCGGUCGCCUCCUAAAAGGUAACGGAGGCGCUCAAAGGUUCCCUCAGAAUGGUUGGAAAUCAUUCAUAGAGUGUAAAGGCAUAAGGGAGCUUGACUGCGAGACCUACAAGUCGAGCAGGGUCGAAAGACGGACUUAGUGAUCCGGUGGUUCCGCAUGGAAGGGCCAUCGCUCAACGGAUAAAAGCUACCCCGGGGAUAACAGGCUUAUCUCCCCCAAGAGUUCACAUCGACGGGGAGGUUUGGCACCUCGAUGUCGGCUCAUCGCAUCCUGGGGCUGUAGUCGGUCCCAAGGGUUGGGCUGUUCGCCCAUUAAAGCGGUACGCGAGCUGGGUUCAGAACGUCGUGAGACAGUUCGGUCCCUAUCCGUCGUGGGCGUAGGAAAUUUGAG
rnacentral:rRNA from 1 species